rnacentral:lncRNA from 1 species
CUGGGUCAGCAAUUUUCUUUCUCUUAAGUGAAUUUCUGCAAAUCCCAUCCAUGGCAUCCUGAUCUCUGAUGAUGAUUUCAGAAUCUUGCAGAUUCUGUUCUAGAUCUGUCUUAGUUGCAUGUUUGGCAUGAACUUCAGAAUCUCCUAUUCCUUGGUCAUAUAAAAGCCAACUAGGUGCUACAGCCAACCAAAAGCUGAAGCCACAUGAAAGCCAUUUGUUGAAAUCAAUAGUUAAGUUUACCCUAAAACGUCUUGUUGCACCACCAACCAUCCAUGAUGUGAGUUCCUAGGAACCUUAUAUUCCACCAAAAAAACAGAAAAUGCUAUUCAUUUAACAGAAGUCAAGAUCAAAGGUAAUUGGAGCAAGAACCAGGAACAAAAGACAGAUCAUCAAAUAACUAGUAGUAUACAUUUGCUAUCUCAAGUCAAGG